CAGUCGCCACGGUAAUACAGAGGGUGCAAGCGUUAAUCGGAAUUACUGGGCGUAAAGCGCGCGUAGGUGGUUCGCCAAGUUGGAUGUGAAAUCCCCGGGCUCAACCUGGGAACUGCAUCCAAAACUGGCAGGCUAGAGUCUUGUAGAGGUGGGUAGAAUUCCAGGUGUAGCGGUGAAAUGCGUAGAGAUCUGGAGGAAUACCGGUGGCGAAGGCGGCCCCCUGGACAAAGACUGACGCUCAGGUGCGAAAGCGUGGGGAGCAAACAGGAUUAGAUACCCGAGUAGUCCCUGUCUCUUAUAC
rnacentral:rRNA from 1 species